AUUGGAACGAUUGGAACACACGAAGAGGACUUUGAGACCCGUUCAACGAGAGGGCUGAGACGAAAUGGCAAGCGGGGUGUGUGAAAAAGAACGAGACUGCGGUGCACUCUGGGAAGAGCCUCAGGACGCCCAUGAUUAUGCUUUUGGUCGGAGAUAGCUUUGGAGAAGAUGGUGCAGAGAAAUAUGUUGUUAAUAUUUUUUCUGGGAGGUUAUCAUGAUGUUUUGAGGCUUUCGUCUGAUCCAGGAAUUUUUGAGAUUUUUUUUUGAUUUUGUGAGGACGGGUGUGUUGCAGACAUUGAACAUUGUGGUGAGCUGAUAUUUAUUUUCAUCUUUUGGAGUUAUUUCGGAGCUGUGGAUUCUCGUAAAAAAAAAUGCUGUAAGACAUUGUUUCUGGGUUAUUCUUCCCGUCCAAUGUUGAGCCAAUAGAAUCACAGCAUUGAACUGUCUUUUAUAUAGUUAACACGAAAUUCAACCCGUGAUUUUUGGAAAAUUUCACUGGUCAUUUUUCACGUAACCCCGUCCAAUUUGACAGAUCGAAUAUUAUUUUGUUAAUUUUGUCUGAUGUUGUAAUUCUAUUGACCGACAUUUGGAUGUAAAAAUAAUUCCCCAAGUACCACUUCAAAAUUAUUGGGUAUUUCCCUUGAAGGUACCUGCAAAUAAAUGAAAUCGUCAUUAUUCAGAAAAAUCAUCCGCACUCGUAAUUUUGUAAUCUGGAAAGCUUGACUCCUUUAUUUGCUUGCGAUGAAGCUUUCAGGGAAAACCCGAUAAUUCCAGGCCUCUUGUGGUCUUACAUCUGACUAUUUGAUGGAGUGGAAAAAAUAUAAUUUGAUAUUUUCCAAUGCAGCUUGUACUUUCGAAAAUGUACAAUAAAGUUUGGAGUAAACUAGAAAACGUUAAUUCCAUGGGUUUUUAAUUCGGGAAUAUAUUUCUAAACGAGUCAUUUUACGAGGAAAUAUGUCAAAAAACUUAUUGUAAAUCGAGGAAUGAAAAAAAAAAUUUUUCCAACAUUUCCUCCCAAAGUCACUCAUUUUUAAGAUACUUUUGUUUUAAAAAAUAAAAUCUCUUCUGACUUUUCACUUCACUAACGAAUCACAAUCUCAGCAAUCUAUGAAUUAAGGUAGUGCAAAAAAUGUGAUAUCCCAUAAUGAUGAAAGCAACAAUAACUUCGUGAUGUAAAUGAAUUUUAUCUAACAAAUAAUUGGAAAUAUUCACCGUAGAAUAAUUAACUUCUGAGGAGUUCCUCCUCAGACAAUUCCGAAACCUACUCUGCCCAUAUCACUCUCAUUCCUCCUCCUUAUCGUCUUCCAUCCCAUAGCGAUGAGCCGCCAUAUCAUCAUCAGAUAAUUGUCAUUAUUUAAUCCCGGUUUAAUAGAAUUCAUCGAUGGGAAAAGAUUAAAGUGAUAAUGACAGCUGUUCGUGUGAAUUCUUUCGCUUUAAUUUCUAUCAAACAAAAAUUAAGAAUUCAUUAGGGUUUAAUUUAUCGAAAAAACGAUCAAGUUCAUUCGUACAAAUAUGAAAUUUAUUCAUCACAAACAGUGCAACAAAAUGGAAUGAAAAAUAAUUUAAUGAGAUUAUCGAUGCUGCUUCAACCACUAGUAUAUAUGAAUACACACGACUCUUAGAUGGAGUCAUACACCAACACAUAAGUUGUCUUCAGAAUAAAUUACUGAUAUCCACAAUCGCAAGUGUUCAAUUUUUUUGUUGCCCCACAGAAUAUUAAUAGCUCCCAUUUAAUUAAAAGUGUGGACAAAGACGUGCGCAAUGUGUCGAACGAUAAUUGUAUCGGUAUGUUGUCAGUGGCAAAUAUUUUCACAGCUAUGAAUCGCUAUCAGUCGACGAGAGUGACGCACUGGUCUAUCAUUCUCAAACCUACUCUUCACCCUUGUUCCAUCUUCGUUUUCAGACUUUUCUCUCAUUUAAUAAGAGAAUAAAUAGUUGAGUUCAGGCAGGUGGAGGAGGUGAAGCCGAUUAGAUUGCCGGUCUCGACGUGGACUCGCAGAGACUGGGAGCUAGGCAGAAGUACGUGGAGACUGAGAGAAUUAUCACGAGUAUCAGAGCUGCCCAAAAUAUCCAGAAUAAGAGGAGGCGAAUUUUUAUCCAGAGGGGGUUCGCUGCGUAGUAAUCGUAGUCACCAAUGAUAUCUGGGGGGAAUAUUUUCUGUGAGUUUUCACAAGAUUUUUUUUUAGUUGAGGGAGAAAACAGGUGAUAAGUGUAAUGAGAAGGGGUUCUAAUUGGGAAUUUUCUAAUUAUAUUAAUCAUAGAUUAUGUUAAUGUCAGAGCGGAUGAGAAACAAACACCAAAAUAUUAAGAUUAUAUAUUGAACAAUAUUUUCUAUUAUUUAUGAAAAUAUUAAUUGAAUAUUUCUAACGAGGAUAUUUUUUUAGAAAACAUUCUUAUGAUAUUUUUUAAUGGAAUUACUCAUUGAAGAGAUAAUUAGGCUCUCGUAUGAGGAUUUUUAGUGUUGGAUAUGAGAGUUGAAGGCAAAAUAUUGGACACGACUUUUUUUAUUUUCAAAAACAAUGGAAAAUGAACGGGUUAUUUACAAAAGAUUUUUCCUUUUUUUCCAUGGAAAUCAAUACGUAUCUCAUAUUUUGGGCGCAAAUAUUUGUAAAUCGAACGACAAGCCGAUUAUAUUAUCAUCUUAAUAAAGCAUGUAAAAGAAAUCAUUUUAUUAAAUUUUGAACAGCAAAAACUAUGAGAUGUUUUCUCUUGAAUUCAACAGAUAAUGAAAGGAUUUAAUUGACGAAUCAAAAUUAACGAAAAUAGUAAAUGUCUCAUGCGAAUUUUCGUAAACAAUUUAAAUAUGCGCAAGAAAAAUGGCCAUAUCGUAAAAAAAUGAAACUUUCUCACCAGUUCUGAGAUACUUUCCAUUCCCAAGAUCCACAAAAACCGGAGCAUCCAGUAGUCGACUGGUUUCAUUGACCAUCCUGUCACAUUCUGGUGGGUGUUGUCCCUUGAUAAAAUCCGUCGCCGACUGUCACAAUUCCAAACAAAACAGGGGAUUCAUAAAAACCCUCCAAAAAUAGUUUCCUAUGAAUUUUCUCGAUACAAACAAACCGAGAAAAUUGAUAACACCUCCAUCAUUCAUGGCCUUAUCAACCACUAACGCCAGAAAACAAGCGGAAUUGUCUCUUAUCGAAGAACAAUGAUAUAUUCGUGGAUAAUCGAAAUGUUUACCAGAUAGAGUUUCACGAUGUAAUACAUGCUUCUUCCUCUGUGAGCACCGGGAGCUACUGAAUCGAGUUGUUGAGUGGAAAUCGGUUGUUGUCCGCAGAGUGAAGGGGAGUAAAUAAAUAGAACUAUUGGGGAGAUGUCGGUUAUUAUAGGAAUGGCAAAUCCAUAAUGCUGAGGAUUUAAUUCUGACACCUGGACCUUCGGAGGUGUACGCACGUGUGGAGGUCGUGGAUGGUGAUGCAGGAAGACAAUUCGACGACGGGUUUAUACUAUUUAUGGUCAAAAUUAAUC